rnacentral:lncRNA from 1 species
UGUAGGUGCCAUUGAUGCUGUUGAUGUCAUUGAUGAUGUCAUUGAUGAUGUCAUCGACGAUGCCAUUGAUGCCGUUGUGGAUCUCAUUGAUGCCAAUGAUGAUCCUAUUGAUGCCAUUGAUGAUCCCAUAGACGCCACUGAUGCCGUUGUUGAUCCUACUGAUGCCAUUGAUGCUGUUGUUGAUCCCAUUGACACCAUUGAUGUCAUUGAUGAUCCCAUCGAUGCCGUUGUGGAUCCCAUUGAUCCCAUUGACACCGUUGUGGAUCCCAUUGAUGCCAUUGAUGAUCCUAUUGAUGCCAUUGAUGCCGCUGUUGAUCCUAUUGACACUGUUGUGGAUCCCGUUGAUGCCAUUGAUGCCGUUGUUGAUCCCAUAGGUCCCAUUGAUGCCGUUGUGGAUCCCAUAGAUCCCAUUGAUCCCAUAGACCCCAUUGAUGAUCCCAUUGAUGCCGUUGUUGCUCCCAUAGAUCCCAUUGAUCCCAUAGACCCCAUUGAUGAUCCCAUUGAUGCCGUUGUUGCUCCCAUAGAUCCCAUUGAUCCCAUAGACCCCAUUGAUGAUCCCAUUGGUCCCAUAGACCCCAUUGAUGAUCCCAUAGACCCCAUUGAUGACCCCAUAGACCCCAUAGAUGACCCCAUAGACCCCAUUGAUGAUCCCAUAGACCCCAUAGACCCCAUUGAUGAUCCCAUAGACCCCAUAGAUGAUCCCAUAGACCCCAUAGAUGACCCCAUAGACCCCACAGCCGCUGCUGUCCCGCUCCCAUCCCCCAUCCUGCGCCGCAGCAGCCGGGUCAGCAGCAGCCUCCGUUCCUGCCGCGCUCGGAGAACCUUGGCCUCGAUCCUGGCGAGUUCAUCACAUAGAGCUCCAGACUCCAGCACCAGAGCGCGGGCGGCGCGGCGCAGCCGCUCGUACCGGCACCGGUACCGAGGUCGGAAGCGGAAGGGAACAGAGGUGGAGGCCACGCCCCCUCGUGACGUGAUGACGUCACCGGUGACGCAAGGGGGAGGGGCUUUGACGAGGUUGGGGCCGCGCCCCUUCCCUAUGGGAGCCAAUGGAGGUCUCUAUGGGUUAUUGAAGGCACGGCCCCUUUAA